rnacentral:rRNA from 1 species
GAACGAACGCUGGCGGCAGUCUUAACACAUGCAAGUCGAACGAUAUAGUGGCAGACGGGUGAGUAACGCGUGGAAACGUGCCUUUCACUACGGAAUAGCUUUUGGAAACGAAAGGUAAUACCGUAUACGCCCUCCGGGGGAAAGAUUUAUCGGUGAAAGAUCGGUCCGCGUUAGAUUAGCUAGUUGGUGAGGUAACGGCUCACCAAGGCUACGAUCUAUAGCUGGUCUGAGAGGAUGAUCAGCCACACUGGGACUGAGACACGGCCCAGACUCCUACGGGAGGCAGCAGUGGGGAAUAUUGCACAAUGGGCGCAAGCCUGAUGCAGCCAUGCCGCGUGAAUGAUGAAGGCCUUAGGGUUGUAAAAUUCUUUCGCCAAGGAUGAUAAUGACAGUACUUGGUAAAGAAGCCCCGGCUAACUUCGUGCCAGCAGCCGCGGUAAUACGAAGGGGGCUAGCGUUGUUCGGAAUUACUGGGCGUAAAGCGCACGUAGGCGGACUUUUAAGUCAGAUGUGAAAUCCCGAGGCUCAACCUCGGAACUGCAUUUGAAACUGGGAGUCUAGAGAUCAGGAGAGGUUAGCGGAAUACCGAGUGUAGAGGUGAAAUUCGUAGGAUAUUCGGUGGAACACCAGUGGCGAAGGCGGCUAACUGGACUGAUACUGACGCUGAGGUGCGAAAGUGUGGGGAGCAAACAGGAUUAGAUACCCUGGUAGUCCACACCGUAAACGAUGAGUGCUAGUUGUCUGCAGGCAUGCCUGUAGGUGACGCAGCUAACGCAUUAAGCACUCCGCCUGGGGAGUACGGCCGCAAGGUUAAAACUCAAAGAAAUUGACGGGGGCCCGCACAAGCGGUGGAGCAUGUGGUUUAAUUCGAAGCAACGCGCAGAACCUUACCUACGCUUGACAUGCCCGGACGAUUUCCAGAGAUGGAUCUCUCCCUUCGGGGCCGGUGCACAGGUGCUGCAUGGCUGUCGUCAGCUCGUGUCGUGAGAUGUUGGGUUAAGUCCCGCAACGAGCGCAACCCUCAUCCUUAGUUGCCAUCACGUUUGGGUGGGCACUCUAGGGAAACUGCCGGUGCUAAGCCGGAGGAAGGCGGGGAUGACGUCAAGUCCUCAUGGCCCUUACGCGUAGGGCUACACACGUGCUACAAUGGCAGUGACAAUGGGAUAAUCCCCAAAAGCUGUCUCAGUUCGGAUUGUCGGCUGCAACUCGCCGGCAUGAAGUUGGAAUCGCUAGUAAUCGUGGAUCAGCAUGCCACGGUGAAUACGUUCCCGGGCCUUGUACACACCGCCCGUCACACCAUGGGAGUUGGAUCUACCCGAAGAUUGUGAGCUAACUUCGGAGGCAGCAAGCCACGGUAGGUUCAGCGACUGGGGU